UGGGGAAUAUUGCACAAUGGGCGAAAGCCUGAUGCAGCGACGCCGCGUGAGGGAUGACGGCCUUCGGGUUGUAAACCUCUUUCAGUAGGGACGAAGCGCAAGUGACGGUACCUGCAGAAGAAGCACCGGCUAACUACGUGCCUGCAGCCGCGGUAAUACGUAGGGUUCGAGCGUUGUUCGGAAUUACUGGGCGUAAAGGGCUCGUAGGCGGUUUGUCACGUUGUCUGUAAAAUCCUAGGGCUUAACCCUGGACGUGCAGGCGAUACGGGCUGACUUGAGUACUACAGGGGAGGCUGGAAUGUCUGGUGUAGCGGUGGAAUGCACAGAAAUCAGGAAGAACACCGAUGGCGAAGGCAGGUCUCUGGGUAGAAACUGACGCAGAGAAGAGAAAGCAUGAGUAGCGAACAGG
rnacentral:rRNA from 1 species